rnacentral:misc_RNA from 1 species
GAUCAUUGAAACUAGGAAUACCAUUAUACAUAAUGUAUUUGUAUAUCGUGUCGUCGGUAAAAGAAGGUAUAGCAUGAAGGAGUAGAAACAGUGUGUGCAGAGGUGCGUGGAGGACCAUCCAGGUUGAAGCGGACUGUAUCACAUCAUCGUUCAGAUCACGCCUAUUGUAUUUCUUGCUUGUGGGUACACCAAACUGACCAGAAAUGGGAAGUAUAGACAGAGAAAAUCUGUAUCAAGCACAGGAUAUAGAGGGAAGCAGCAGUGCAGUUACAACUCCGGGUGAUGUCGUGAACAUCACCUCUAUACAGCUGGACACCCCAACCAGUUCCCAACCACCACCCUCACCACGCACUAUAACAACAACAGUCAGCACCCCGCCUUUUGAUGAGCCGCUGGGACCGCCACCAGCCUACACAUUUAACCCCCCACGAAUGAGUACUUUAGAACCUAUCCCUGGUCCACCUCCCUCAUACGAUGAAUGCCACAGCCUCAACGUUCCUCCCCCUACAUAUGAUUCCUUGUUUGGGCGAGUGCGGGAAGUUCAUAAAACUUCCAAUGGUGCUGUCGAUUUUCUGAAAAAUCUGAUAGUCCUUUUUGUUGGAACAAUUGGUUGUACAGUGAUGAUCAGCAUAACCAUAGUGAUUCCUAUAUUCAUGAUCAUCGUUGGGGCCCUCAAGAUGGAUGAGUGCCCUGCUGAACCAUACAUUCCCAUAUAUCUUGUUAUUGGAGGUACAUUUGGUGUACUGAAGAACUUGCUGGGUUUCCAAGGACGGUUACGUCGCCCUCUAGCAGAAGAGGAAGGGACAGAAGAAGGAGGAGAAUCAUCAGAUGCUUCUACUCCAUGGCAUCGCAGGCUUAAGUUUGCUGGCUCCAUAAACUUCUUCCUGUCAGUUUGGUUCAUUUUGGGUUGUGUGUGGGUAUACCGUAUUUAUGAACCCAGUUACUCGCCAAAAGAUCAUAAUUACUGUGACUACAGUCUGUACCAGUUUGCAUUCUGGCUGGUUACCUCGGUCUAUAUUGCUGUCGGUCUGCUGACUUCCUGCAUGUGCUGCCUGUCUGCAGCUACAGUUGUCAUGAAGCACAAUUGCAUGACUGAGGCACAGGUUUGAGCUCUACAGUUGUGUUUCUAUGGACGUAAGAGACAAAUACGUGGCGAGUGUAAUAAUUGAGAACGAGUUUUAUGCCACCGUUUUUUUAUAAUUCAUGUCGAAAGAAUUUUUUUUGUAAAUGUGAUUAGUAAAACGUUUAGGUACUAUUAAAUUGAAUUAGAUUUUUUUCACCUUGCAUAUACAGUUCAUAGAUUAGCAUCAUGUCAGCUAAGGCAGUAUAGCUCAUAUUUCUCAAAGCCUUGUUUUCUAUGUAUAUUAUGGUCUUUUGUUAUUAAUUUACAUCUCUUUAUUAUUAGAGAUGUAUAUCUAGUUAUUAUGCUGUCCUCUGUUUACCAGCCAUUUUUGUAGUGUAGCUUAAGCGCAAAAGUCCAUAAAAACCUCAUGAAUGAAUACAAGAAUGGUGUGUUCAUAUCUGAAUGUAUCUAGUCAUUUACUCAUGCAUUGUACAAUUAUAUAUAUAUAUAUAUUUUAUAUUGUCUCUUAUUUCUUUAUUGAUAAUAGGAAUAAGGUUCAUUUAGCUUUAAUAUUUAAAAUGGAUUCACAUCUGGUGACCUACAUUUGGCUAUCUUGUGCUGGCAUUUGCAUUUGUAAGUAUAAUUAUUAAUUACUUGGUAUAUCACUCAGCAUCUAGCAUGUCUACAUCUUUCAGUGAAAGAUGUAGUUUAGUAAUACUACAAAGUAUUACAAAUGAUGUAGUAAUACAAACUACAUUAGUAGUUUGAGUGGUAAUAAAUUUACAAGAUGUGAUCAUAACAUUCCUUGCAUGUUGUAUAUAUUGUGCCAACAAUAAUGGUUGUAAAAGCAUUAUGUAGUAUCUGAACACGUUAUACUCUGAUCACCAUGCAUUCUUUCCUAAAGAUCAGACAGUUAACCAAAGUAUCUUUUAAUAUAUUUUUUUGAGGCAUUAUAAAACAGACACAUAGGAAUCUGAGGUAUCUCUUUAACCUUGUGGAACAAACUUGGUUUACCAGUUCCUUAUCUUGAAUAGUUUCUCCAUUGCCAGUGCUACAUUGGUAAUUGGCCUCGAGUUCACUACACAGCAUUGCUGAGCGAUGAUACAAUACCCACCGAUGCGACUUAUUGUCAUCAGCGUUCAUUCUGAUGCAGUUUCACUUUUGCAGCUCAUAGUGUUCGCAGAAUAUAUCUCAGCUGGAAAUUUUUGUCACUUUCAUAGAGUGAGUAUGAAUGAAAUUAGAAAUUUAUAUUGAUUUAAAAUAUGAGGAUGUUGUCAGUUAUGUUUGUUGUACCAUAUCUAAAUCUAUUCAGCUGGAAUGCAUCAUACUUGUUUUUUCCUUCUUACUGUAAUAGCUUAACUAAGUGACCAAGGUAUGCCUCUCUUAAUUUUGAAUAUUGUUGGUAUCCCAUAUUUGAAGCAUAUAGAUUCUUCUCCAAAUGUUUUCAUCAUUGUUUAUCUAGUCUCAGAUUUCCAAACUUGUAUUAACUUGUAAAUUAUGUAAUGCAGUUGGUAUAAAAGUGAGCAAGGUUUUCCUUGUAAAAUUAAAGGAACUAAAGAAGUUAGAAAUGUAACCAUUUAUUUUGGUUAAAUGAAAUUUUGUAAUCUAUAGUAAAACUUAGCAUAUGAGAAAGAAAGAUGUUACAUUUCCCCGGAAAUUUUCUUUGUACAUGGAAAAAGAGUCAUUUGAUCCUCUGGUAUUGAAAUAUCUGGGCAUAUGUUACAGCAUCCUUCUGUUCUUAGUAUGAUCGUCUUGUGUCGAUGCCAGCUAAUAUAUGAUCAGUUGGUGAUAUUCAUCUCAUGCAGUCAAAAUAUAGUGUUUAUAGAAAGGGACUGAAAUACGGGAAGAAAAGACCAGAUUGGAAAUAAAACUCUGGUCAUCUACUCCUUUUGAGUCUCAUUUUUCUAAUGCAUUAGGAUGUAGCACAUGUGUGAAAGUAAAAGCAUGAUUAUUUUUUUUUUAUUUACAAAAUCUGCAAACAUGAAUUUAAAUUUACAAAAGAUUUUUGUGGCAACAUGCCACAAGAUUGUUGUCUUCUGCAGUUCUAUCGGUUACAACAAAAAUUAUGUGCAAUUUAAUUAAUUAGCCUUGGGGGGGGGCAUAACUAGGUUUCCAAAAUACUGUCCUUAAAGGGUUAAUGUCAGUCAUUACUGUUUGCUAUGAUUCCAGAACGUUUUUGUUCCUUGACCUUUUUCUAUAACUCAUUGUUAUGUGAUAUGUUUGCAAAUGAGCUGUGCUAAAUUUUGUGUGUAUAUUUUGUAAUUUUGUAUGAUAAAAUAAAUUUUCUUAUACUAUGGCAUUUGUGAUCAAAUAUUAUUAGUAGUCAGGAAUUGCUAAUAUAAUAAUGUUGUUAAUGGACAUUUUAGCAUUAUUGAAGUAUUGUUAUACCAGAUGUAGCAUCCUAUUGAGUAGGAAGUGUGUUAAGACUGACACAUCUUGAGGUUAUCUUGAGAAACAUCAAUUGAAUCUCUCUUUUAGACCCUCAUGACCUGAGGCCAAGCUAUAGAAGUGUAUGCGGUAUUGUGGUAUUAUCACAAAUUAUUCCAGUGCAUCUGGUAAAUCAGUCAGUAUAUGUAUAUUAUUCAAAUUGCAUCUGUGAUUUAUGUUUCUCUGUUCCUUAAGGCACUCCUGGUUCAUCAGAAGAAACAUGGGUACACUUUCAGUAGUAAUGUAGGCACAUAUAAAAAGUGAACAUAGGACUCUUAACCUUCGAACCACCACAGGAUUCCUUCUAAAUUGCCAUGCUUAAAACAUACCAUUUCACAGUGCAUCAGUUUUUCAUUCUUUUUGCAGCUAAAAUAUUUAAUAUCCUUAAUAUAUAUUGCAGUCAGCAAUGAAUGUAAAAAUAUAUAAGGAAAUUACAAAAGAUAGAAUAGAUAAAAUAUAUAUUAAAUCAAUUUUUCUUCUUGAAAAGUUAUAAAUACUUACCUAAUACUAAUUGCCUUAAACAUUUACUGAAGGAAGGUAGUGUGCUUCAUUCAGCAAAUACUGUAUAGCACUGUGCAUCUUUCUCUGUUUUAAUUACAUCUGCUCAGAUUUGUUUAAUUUAAAGAUAAAUACCUUUAUGGUUUUUAAGAACAAAUAGAACUGGAAAAUACCAUUUAAGUGUAUAUAUAUAUAAAGAGAGUAUACAUUUCUGGGCCAAAAGUAGACACAUGCAAACCAUGUUUUAGACAAAUAAACACCUUGAAUGGUGAAGGUAAGGUAAUUAUCAGGAGAAAGCACUUGGAAGGGAUAUGUGAAUUAGGAUCAAGGAUAGGAUAAAGAAAAGGAAUAGUGCCCAACCACUUGAACGGUCAGGGAUUGAACGCCGACCUGCAAGAAGUAAGACUGUCGUUCUAUCUUCAGGUCCACUUAGUUGGUCACCAUUCCUUUCCUUCAUCCAGCACACAGAAAUACACAGCUUUAUAACACUGGAAUAUAAAUCCUGAAAUAUAAAUAUAGAUAAUAUUGCCAGUAUUUCACUUCGUUCCAUUUUCUCAUUCAUAGCUUUUAUGUUUUUUGUUUAGCAUACUUUAUGUAGAUAGAAAAUUGUGCUAACUUAUUCUUUCAUUAUAUAAGCGUUUGAUAUGUUGCUCUUGUUAAAACAGGUUUUAUAACUGUACAGUAGAAGUCUGACAUUGAUCCUAGAAACAAAUCCUUCCUCAGUUGUUAUUUUCUUGGAAAGAAUGACACAUGAAGCAUUAAAUCAGCGCUGUCCUAGAGUUGAGUAAAUGGUUUUUCUGGGUAAUCUGUAUGCAAUAUGACAAAACAUAUAACACAGUUUCCAUGCAUAAAACCCCAGACCAAGAUAUUUCUCUUUAAAAAAGAGCUUUACUGUUCUUCCAUUUACUAAAUCAUAUUGAUAGUUGGACUCUGCAUUGCCUGCCAACAGAAAUGUGACAUUCAGUCGAAGCUCUGUAUUUGUCAGCGCCUAUAUUCAUCACAGUCGAUACUCGUUUUUUUAUGACAAAAAAUGCUUCUAUAUUCAUCAGCAUUUUCCAUGUUCGUCACCAUCCCUACUGCUUAUAUUAAGGAAAUGCAGAAUAUGGUCGAAAAGUUGCACCCAAACAUUGACAUAGUUAAUUAAAACAAAUGCAUUCAGUGAUAAUGUGAUUGGCUACUUCAGGAAAGUUUAAAAAACAGACAUACAGACAAUAAUGGACAAGUUCUUUGCCAAAUCGAGUCCUACUGAAUCAUCGGUAAAGGGAAUAAAAUUACAACUAUCACCAGAAGUGGAGUUAACUGAUGUUUCAGUGAAAGAUGACUUCCUUUCUAAAGAAUAAUUCCUUUCCUCCUGUUCAUCAUCUACUAUCAUCUCUCCUUAGUUGAGUAAAGGCAAAGUACAUAUGAUCAAAAAAAAAUUUUAGAUUUCUAAGGUUUCUGAUCUGUUAAAAUAUUAUUUACUGAUAUGCAAUAAAAAGACAAUUAAGAUUUAAAAUGAAUAAGAAGCUUAAAAUUUGUUAUCUCUAUAAUAUUUUAUAUACGGUAUAAUGAGAUUACAUGUACCAGCAACUAAUCUUAACACACACACUGCAUCCAUCACUGGAGACUGCAAGCUAACACGGUGUACUGUACUGAUAAGUGUCAUCCAGUCGGACAGACAUAAAGCAAUGACAAAGCUUUACUUUUUAAUUUAUGUACUGUAAUUAAAAAGGUACUGUAUAAUGAUGUUUAUGCAGGGUUUGAGUGUUUGUAUGAGCACAACCUCGGGUGAUUGCAUAGAUUUAAUAUGUAAUUAACUAAUAUCUGAUCUUAGCCCAGGUACCUCUUUUAUCUGAUUAUUGUAUACACAUGGUAUAGAGAAUAACAUAUUGUUCACAAUGGUAAAAGUUAGUGUUUAUGGACACUUGUAACCAAUCCUUCAUUUAUUUUGAUUAUCAAAAUUAUUUUGUCCCUUUUAGAUAUAGUCUCCAUAUGCUGCUUUGUUUUGAAUGUGUAAAGGUGCACAUAAGAAGGUUGGAUAUUAAGGUUAACUAACAAAAAGGGUUAUGGUAUAGAUUCGGUGCAUAUUUUUAAAACUAGCUAGAUAAUGUCAAUCUCUAAGCAUAUUUUUAACUUGGGGACUCUUGGUGUUCAUUUAAAACCUCUUGGAGGGAAGAGGACAACUUGAGUGUGUAAGUUGAUGGUGUUUCUUAGUGCACGCACGGUCUAAUGUGAGGUUCAUGGCCACUCUUAUAGUCCCUAGAGUUACAUAAUGUAAACACCGUGUAGCAUGUAUCAAGUGUUGUAAGUCAUUAUUGCUCUCAAGCUUUUUUCCCUCUGUAAGUGUUGCCUUAAUCCAUCACUGGUAAUGAUGACAAACUCUGCCUUCUACAUCAAAAAACAUUUCAAACUUUUAAACUUUUUUAUCUUGUAGAAUUAGAGCAAGCGACUAGCCACAGGAUAUGCUUAUGCCCUGUCUCUAUUUAUAAAAUAUAACUGUAAUAGUCUUAGGACUAGUGAUGCUGGAAACAAUUCCUAUGAAUUGUGAGUGAUCAACUUAUGAUUAUCUCUGGAUUUAUAGGUAAAGUCUUUUAUAAUUUUCUUUGUCUUGUUCCCAUACCUGGGUGGCUUAGGAAUGUUCACAAACUAUUUGACCUGCACAAUGUUUUCAUUUGAAUGUCAUGGGUACAUGUAUAUAGCUGCACUUGAUGCUUUGAGCAUGAAGUCAUGCAAUUAAAAAAGAAUUGAAUCUCACAUAACUCAAUUAUAUAGAAACUGUGCAUCAUGCAUCUAUAGUCUGUCAAUCAUCUCUAAAAUGGUUAAUAACAUUUUGCAUUUGUUAUUGAUUGGGUCUUUGAAAUCCUUAAUGUAAUGAUUAUUUUGAGAAUGAAGUAUAUAUAUAUACAUUGAAAGAAUAAUUAUUUCAACAUCAGUUGCCUACUGUAAACAAAAGGAUUUAACACAAUUAAUCUUUUUGAAUAAACAGUUGCUGUACUUGUUGGAGCAUCUUUACUGUUUUAAGAUUAAUUAGUCAACUUUAAUUCUAAUUUUUUUUUACAUUAUCUGGAAAUUCUUAAUUUUUUUUAUCUUUAUUAUAGUAUAGAAAUAUAAAGUGACUGUACAGUUGUUGAGCAGAUAGUACUUGGUGCAUUUCAGAAAACCUAAGCCAAUCCAAAAAAAAAAAAAAAAUGGAAGCUGUAAACAAUGUGAGAUGCAGUGUUGCUAGCAGAGGUGCAUCAGGACAUGUAUAUGAACCUUCAUUGUUCAGGUCGUCGCAUAGGUCUUGAAUGUACAUCUGCUCCAGAAUUGAUAGCCAAGACCCCUGGAGAUGGUGUGCCCUUUCCCUCCCUCUCCCAAAUGAGUGGAGGAGGUGGGGUGGAUGAGCUCAUGCUAGGUGUAAGAGAUUUGAUUGUUUACAUAGUUGAAGUCCAUUUGGUGGGUUGUGAGACUCUGACCUCUUCUGAACCCAACAGUGGUUUGUUUUGACUCAUUGACUUUCUGGAUACCUUUCCUGGUGAGGUAAUGAAAUGUCACUGCUUCCUGCACCUCUGUGAGGGGACCAGGUUCUGGUUCCAGUGCUCGAUAGGCCUAAAAACUCCACAGAUGCAUGACUUAGUGAUGAGAGCCAUUUCAGUGUAUAUCCACAGGGAGCCACUACGUCUAUAUGAAACCACAUAUACACAAACAACUGAUGAGUCUCAUUAUAAAAUAUAGAAAAUAUAAGAAAUACAAAGAUUAUAGUACAGCAGUAAUAAAUAUGUAAAAAGUGAGCUUGCAGAAUGAGGAACCAAGUAGUAGUAGACACAGUUAUCCUACCUUUCCUGUCUUACAUCCACACAAAUCAACCAACUCUCACAGAUAGGCAGUUUAACAUUAAUGAAAAAAUACUGUACAGUACAGAUUUCAAAAUUAAGUUUUUCGAUGCUCUACUGUAAAAUAAAUGGUUCAGAUUUAUUUAUCUUCAGUUUUACAAACCUCAUAAAAUUGUAUUUGAAAAUACAUCAUAUUUCUUUGGGUAAUACCUGAAUCUAUUUAUGUAAUAUUCUCAUGAAUUUGUUUGAAGAGAUGUAUCAUUUAAUCAUCUUUGAUAUAUACAAUUGCAUGUAGAUCUCGUUAUGCAAGGUCUGGACUUUCUACGGGUAACGGGUAUAACCCUAAAGCCAUAUGUAAAUCCACGGAUGCACUGAAAUCUAUUUAAGCACAAAUUAGUAUACAGUACUUCAUUAAGCUUGACAGUGCUGUUAAUAUCUUUCUAUAUUUUUAGUAGGAAAUACUGCAUCUUCAUGUAGUAUAUGGGGAGCUGAAAUAGAGCUAAGUUCUAUUACCUUACAUUAACAGGGAGUGCAUCUACUAGUUAUAAGUUCCAAUGUUCAAUCAUCACUGUAUAGUCAAUCACAGUCAACUAUUGUACAAUAUCCUAGGGAACUUCUUAACUAUAGCAGCUUAGUCAAUGGAGGUUAUAUCUCAUUGCAGUUAUAUUUUGAGAUUUCUAGAUCAACCUACUUAUACAGUAUUGUGACAUGUAGAUUUUUUAUCCUUAUUAAAGCUGUUGUAACAA